GCCUGGGUGGCUCAGUCGGUUAAGCGUCUGACUUCAGCUCAGGUCAUAAUCUCACGGUUUGUGAGUUCAAGCCCCACAUCGGGCU
rnacentral:tRNA from 1 species